UAUAUCAGUCAUCAUUCUUCUUCUUCUAAUUUUUUUUUUUCUUCGUGGCGACGCUGAUGGUGAUGGUGCGGUGCUUCCCCGACUGACAGUCUUCUACACUCCCGACGCUCGCUGUCUGUGAUUUUGGGUUUUUGUAAACCAACCAAUCAUCUUCCUACUAAUUAGAGUUGUGAAUUCGUUCUAGGGUGUUGUUAUGGAAGCGAAAUCAUCAUCGCUCGCUCGCUCGCUCCCCUGCUUGCUUCUUAAUUAGACGGUAUUGUUUUGGGAGGCGUAUUUACGAUCCGCUUGAUAACAGAGCAACACCAAAAACUAGCUCUGUUAUCAGCUCUGUUAUCACUCCCCCACACUACGGUUUCAAGUAAUGUUGCUCAUCUUCCUAGUGGCACUCGCAUCUAGGCAUUUAGCCUAAGACCCUGUCUUCUCUUAUAGAUAUGCUCGAGGUUCUAUAAGAAGAAAAGCUUCAGGUUUUGGAUGAUGCUGAUCAGUGAUGGCUUUGAUGGACACGCUUCUUCUUUGUGCGUGUGAUUGCUUUGAUGUUUCAGUUUUGCAGGUGUGUUUUGCAAGCGAAUUAUGCUCUGAUCUAAGGAUUAAUUGCGCGGGAUGGUUGAAGCUAUGUGUUGUAAUGUCCCGAGAAUAAGAGGACCGUAGCAUCUCCAUCUUCAGCUUCAGUUUCCUGCAAGCCCGAAGAAUCUGGAAAUCUCCACGAUGAUAAGCUAGUAGAGAUGAUAAACACAACAAUAGUGGAUGGAAGCCCAUCUGUAAAAUGGGAUGAUGUUGCUGGACUUGAUGGAGCUAAACAAGCUUUUCUGGAGAUGGUUAUACUACCGGAAAAAUGAAGAAAUUUGUUCUCUGGUCUUCGGAGACCAGCGAGAGGCUCAACACCUUCAGGCAAUACUUGUUUCAUAGCUUCAGUGGUGCAAUGCUUAACUCACACCAAGCCUCUUCUUAAAAGCCUUGUCUAAUACAAGAGUCAAAACCCUUGCAACUAUGGUGGAGGCACCGGGACUGAUAUGAUAAAUCUUUCUUCAGUUUAUCUUGAAGGAUGCCGUCUCUCAUACAAAUAUCAAAACCCUUGCAACUGGAGAGUCAGAUGAAGUGAUAAAAGAGUUAAAAGAUGUUGCAGGACAACAGUUGGCUCUAGCUACUGGUGUAGGCGUAAAGAGAACUCUUGUAUCUAUUGGGUGUCCACUUUGUCGGGUUUGGGAGCUGAAUGCUUCUACUUCUGUUGCCCGUCUAUCUAAAGAGAAGGACGAGAUGUUUGCCUCCUCGAGAUUUUCUGUGUAGACAGUGCAGUCGAUGAAGUUCUUUACAUGGCUGCAAACACUGAACUUGGUGGGAGUAUUAUAACAUACUACAAAAUCAUGGAAACGAAAUUAGUCAAAGCCAAGAAUAACAACUCUAUAUCAGCCUCUAAUGUCUCAGCUGAUGGGAAGCUGCUUCCGAUUCAUGAUUUUCUCUUAAUGCAGAAGAACCCUUGAAAGGAGAUGUUAUGAUACUUGACAUACCUCAACAAGUUUGUGUUCUUCUAAAUCAUCUGCUUCACCAUCUUGUGGAUGGGAGGACCUUGAUUUUGUUGCAGACGGCAGACGAUCUUAAUGAAAAUUUCCAGCUUGUAGGAAAAGAUGCGCUAGAAGAAGGUGAAAUAAAUCACCUCGGAAACAUCUAAGCUACUGAGGGAAGACUACCUUGCUCAAAACGCGUUUACACCGGAAGCUAAAUCGUGGUCUCUCCAUGGUUGAUAGCUACAAGCUGUUGAAGCAAGACCAAGACUUGACCGAUAAAGAGACUUUCAUUUAGUGUUCUCUCAGCUUCAAGCUUAUAUUUUCUCGUGCUUGAUGACAUCAUAGACAACUCUAUCACACGUCGUGGUCAGCCUUUUACAGUCUUCUUCGGUUCGAUUUCUACUCUAAGUUGGUUGUGGAAUAGCAACGCGGCGGUUCACUCCGGUUUCCAUCUGCUUGCAGGCAACACUACACGCCUCCGUAUCUUUUCCGGCACUGCUAAUCCCUGCCUUAGCUCAGACUCAAGGACGUGAAUCAUUCCAAUGCUUUUUCUUAUCUUCAUGCAUUGGAAUCUUUCUAUGAGAAGUUCGAUCCAGGUUUCAUCAGCAUCAGGACAAAGGCCAGAGAGGUGUUGCAGAGGGAAGACGAUCUUAAUGAUAUUGCUCAGCUUGUAGGAAAAUAUGCGAUAGUAGAAGGUGAAACUGACAUCUAAGCUACUGAGGGAAGACUACCUUGCUUAAAACGCGUUUACACCGGAAGAUUUGGAAGCUCAAUCGUGGUCUCUGCAUGGUUGAUAGGUACAAGCUGUUGAAACGAGGCCAAGGCUUGACCGAUAAAAAGACUUUUAUUUAGUUUUCUCUCAGGUGGUGCAUUGAAUGGCUUCAAGCUUAUUUUCUCGUGCUUAAUAAACAACUCUAUUACACGUCGUGGUCAGCCUUUUACAGUCUUCUUUGGUUCAAUUUCUACUCUCGUUGGUUGUUGAAUAGCAACGCGGCGGAUGACUCCGGUUUCCAUCUGCUUGCAGACUCAAGGACGUGAAAUCUAUUGCAGCCAAGCUUGUCCUCCUUUUGAUAGCAACACAGUCUGGUGGUGCAGAACAUGUCCUUGCUUUUGUCAUCUUCACUCCGGUCACAGGCACAGUCUAUGGGGCUACUUUGACAUUCCAUUCAAUCAUGUUUAUGGCCAGCAAAAGUGGAACGCAGCGGAUCCGUACAAGUUCUACACUCCGGUUUCCACCUGCUUAUAGGUGACACCGUUCUUGCAAGCUUUUCGAGGACCCGUUUGGAAGACUCGAUUUACAAGAACACCACACAGCCUCUGUAUCUUAUCCGGCACUGCUAAUCCUGCCUUAGCUCAGGUAUAUUUCUUGCUAUUUGGGUCUGGAGCUUGGGAAAAUCAAGAUUAAACGUGAAUCUGUUGCAGCCAAGCUUGUGGCAAAUUUGAUAACAACACUGGCUUGUGCAGACUGUGUCCUUGCUUCUCAUCUUCACUCCGGACAGUCUAUGAUGGGCUACUUUUACAUUCCAGCCGAUCAUGUUUCUGGCCAGCCUGUGAUACUUGAUUACUUAGCAAGGUGAUUUGGUGGUAGUUUCACCUGAUGUUGGUGGUGUCGCAAGGGCUCGUGCUUUUGCCAAGAAGUUAUCUGAUGCACCUUUAGCAAUAGUUGAUAAAAGACGUCAUGGGUACAAUGUUGCAGAGGUGAUGAACUUAAUUGGGGAUGUUAAAGGGAAAGUAGCUAUAAUGGUGAACGUUUAAUCUCAAGCUACAUCCAAUUGCUUACUCAACUGAUAUAUGAACUUGAUGUCUGCAUAGUAAAAGUCUUAAGAAAUGAUAGAUUUUUCCUUCUUAAUAUUGCUUCUAGAAGUGCUACUUGUGGGCUUAUUAUAAAACAUUUCCCUUCAUUAUAGGUCUGUCGACGAAGCACAGUAUAUAUCUCCAUACUAUUUUUUCCCUUUAAUGACUUUUAGAGAUUUGCUAUUAUAUAUCUCUGUUUUUGCCU